UCCACUGACAUUAUGCUCAGACAUAAUAAGCGAUGAAAUCUGCAGCAAUCUCAAAAAAACAAAAAGAAAUAUUGAUUUGCGAUGUUCAGGGUGCCUGAGAGAUAAAGACAUGAAUAGCAGAAACUGCAGCACAAUCCUAAAGAAUUGUUUGUACCAGUGUGAACGCCACAGGGUUAUACUUGAAGCGGAAGAGCAAUAUAAAAGAAAAAUUAAGAAAUUACUGUACAGCAGUGGGAGCUCCACAUAUGUUAAUUAUAAGCAGCUUACACCUCUUACAAAGGGAGGGAUGGAUUAUGAGUCGUUUCUUCAAAGGAAAGCACAACCCAACAGU